rnacentral:rRNA from 1 species
UACGAAGGGGGCGAGCGUUGUUCGGAAUUACUGGGCGUAAAGGGCGCGUAGGCGGCCGAGCAAGUUAGAUGUGAAAGUCCUGGGCUUAACCUGGGGACUGCAUUUGAUACUGCUUGGCUUGAAUUCGGGAGAGGAUAGCGGAAUUCCCAGUGUAGAGGUGAAAUUCGUAGAUAUUGGGAAGAACACCAGUGGCGAAGGCGGCUCACUGGCCCGUAACUGACGCUGAGGUGCGAAAGCGUGGGGAGCAAACAGG